rnacentral:lncRNA from 1 species
AAGUUCAGGGUUCAUACACCUUUUUAGUUCCAUUUUUCCAUGACUUUUCCAUGACUUUUCAAGGAUGUUUUAUGAAAUUUCCAUACCCCAAAACUAUAGACCAAAAAGUCAUCCCUAAUGCUAUAAACAUGCUUUUGUGUCCUUUCCAUGCAACUAAAUAAACAAUCUUUUUAACACCCAAUAAUGACACAAUUGCACUGAAACACAAUGAGAAAU